rnacentral:lncRNA from 1 species
AACUCGGGGCGUUGAAUAUGGAUGGCCUCGGGUUUCCGAACUUGUCUGGGACCCUCUCUACUAGAGAGGUCUUGCGCUUCCUGGGAGGCCUCAUGCGCGGCCCCGGUCCGCACUCUUCGAUAAGAAUUUGCUCCUUUUAUCCGCUGAUGAGCCCCCCGGAAAUUUAGGGUCCACCCACGUUAAGGGCCCACCUUCGUCCCGCACGCUAACGAACCAGGAGCUAGAAAGCCCCUGUGUGCUUGAGACUGCCUCCAAAGGGACUCCCAGCCAGACCACGUGCCUGAAGCUGCCGCUGGAGUUUGCUGUAAGCAGCGAGAAAACAGUAUUCAAUUUCAAGAAACCUUGCACUAGAUAGUUUUCUCUACAGGGAGCACCUCAGUGGUCACCGGGAUAGGGUGGGGAGAAGUUGUUGGUCAAGCCAACCGCAGAGCAGGGCCUUUAGCCACUCAAAAGUUUCUUCUUUGUUAUUUGGACUAAAGCACCUAUUAAAAAAUGGUGGCUGCUACGAUAGUGUCAGCAGAUGGUCCAGGAGUCUGACAAAACAGUCAAAGGAAGGUACCCUGGCGAAGGCACGGAAGAUUGCCUUUGCGUUGUGCUUUUGCCAUUUAUUCAGAUGGGUCAUUGUGGCAAAACUUAGUGUCAAACUUAAAACCAGAGCACUCUCGUUGGUUUAGAGCCCGUGCAGGUAGGAUGAUUCCGUCCUGGGCGUCUGGUACCUAACUGUUAACAAAACUGGGAUACUUUCAGCUAUGAUGAUAUUUCCCCAACUGAGCUAGUGUUCAGAACCACCUCUGGAGUUUCUAAUUAAAGAGGUCUGGGAUUGGGCCCAGGAUUUUGUAUUUUAACAAGGGCCUGUGGGGAUUCUUGUGAGCAAUCAAGUUAUUUUGCAAUUCUUACUAGAACUCUCCUGAGACUAAAUGAAAAGGAAGCCCACAGAUACCCACUGGGGCUCUCUGAUCAGCAAAGAGGCUGGGGCCAGUUCUAUGGUCUGCACCCUUCUUUCUCGUGAUCUGUGAGAAAGGUUUUCUGAUUUUGAACUCGGAUGGGGGCACAGAAAGAACUGCAUAAGCCAAAGCAUGGCGAAAUGCAGUAAGAGCCCAGUGGUUGUUUUUCUUUUGUUGUCUUUUUAGGGCCACAACCUUUGCAUGUGGAAGUUCGAGGUCUAGGGAUCAAAUUGGAGCAACUCAGGGUCAGAGCCGCAUCAGUGCCCUACACCACAGCUCACAGCAAUGCUGGAUCCUUGAACCCACUGAGCAGAGCCAGGGAUCGAACCCGAGUUCUCAUGGAUACUAGUUGGGUUCAGUACCACUGAGACACAACUGGAACCCCAUGACUGUAGUGUUUACAAGCCAUGUGGCACAGGGCAAGCUUAGCACACGCUUGGAAAGAGGCUGGAGAGAUAAGCAGUGGGCAUGGUCAAGUGACAGGGAUGAGUUACAGAAAUAGUGGCAUGGCUGGCUUGGCAUUCAGAUCUCAGUUUAUACCACCUCUGAAGAGGCCUUUCCCAACUCUACAGUGAGAAGUGCCCCCCACCUAGCAUUUAAGGAUCUGGUGUUGCCCCUGCUCUGGUGAGGGUCACUGCCGAGGCCAGGGUUCAGUCCCUGGCCUGGGAAUUUCCUCAUGCCAAAAAAAAAAAGAAAAAGUGCCACCCAGAAGCUCCCUAUUAUAUCACUGAAUCCUCUGGAGAUACCUACCACUACCUGGCAUUUUUCUUGGCUGUUUAUUGUCUGUUUGCUCCUUCUCCAGCCAGGAGAACACAGACUUUGUUCUCUGCUGUAUUCCUGGCGCCUUAAACAUUGCCUGACAUAGUGGUGAAAAUUAUUUGUGGAAGGAAGGAACUAUUUAGGUAAAAGGAACAGUGGAGAAAGCCAUUAUGGCUUAGUGUUCCAGUGCCUUGCGCUGGAGUCAGUCUGGGAUAGAAAAAUAGUAACAGCUAUUACUUAUAUAAUGCUUACGAAGUUCCAAGCACUAUUCUAGUUUUAUGGGCAUGUAUCUGUGUAUCUUAUAUACAUAUGCAAAUUAAUUUACUCUUAGAAAAAAAGUACCACUGUUUUACAGAAAUUGGGGCAUAGAGAGGUAAAUGAACUUGUUCAGGGUCACAUAGCUAAGAACUAGGAUUUUUAUUUACUUACUUAUUUUGUCUUUUUAGGGCUGCACCUGUGGCAUAUGGAGGUUCCCAGGCCAGGGGUAGAAUAGGAGCUGUAGCUGCUGGCCUAUACCACAGCCACAGCAACACCAGAUGCAAGCCGCAUCUGUGACCUACACUUCAGCUUACAGCAACACCAGAUCCUUACCUCACUGAGCCAAGCCAGGGAUCGAACCUGCGUCCUCAUGGAUGCGAGUUAGGUUUGUUUCUGUUGAGCCACAAGGGGAACGCCUGGAACUAGGUUUUAAAUUGAGACCCUGCUCUGUCAUCCCAGUUUCUUCAUAAAUGGGGAUAACAAUACCUAACUUGGGGGUUGUUAUGAGUAUUUAGAUGUGUAAUAAGUUCUCAGUUAACAUUAGCUAUUGUUACUAUUGACAGACUUGGUGAGUAGAGAAGGAGAAAGGUUCGUUUAUUUUCCGUAUCUGAGUGUGUAUAUGCAAGUGGAGUGACACCAGCAGGGCUGCAGGUUUGGGGGAGUUCAGUUUCGGACAUACUGAGUGCACAAGGAAUACCUAUCACUUAUGCAGUUGAUUCUGCGGAGGUGGUCACAUGACUGCAGACACAGGUGGUGUGAGGGACCAGCCUAGAAGAGAAGCCAGAGUGAGGAGAGGAGAAGGGCUGGGCAGGCCCAGGCCCAGUGAUGGGAAACAUCUAGGGUGAGAGAAGGCCCAGAGGCAGAAGGAGAGCUAGAAAAAGGGAGUUUGGUAAGCCCAGGGAAGAAAGAACGGUGGGUGUCCAAUGCUACAAAAAAGUCAAAUAAGAUGAGGCCUGAGAAGGCCUCCUGGAUUCUGUAUUAAGAGAUACUGGAGGAGUUCCCGUCGUGGCGCAGUGGUUAACGAAUCCGACUAGGAACCAUGAGGUUGCGGGUUCGGUCCCUGCCCUUGCUCAGUGGGUUAACGAUCCGGCGUUGCCGUGAGCUGUGGUGUAGGUUGCAGACGCGGCUCGGAUCCUGCGUUGCUGUGGCUCUGGCGUAGGCCGGUGGCUACAGCUCCGAUUCAACCCCUAGCCUGGGAACCUCCAUAUGCCGCGGGAGCGGCCCAAGAAAUAGCAACAACAACAACAACA